GACGAACGCUGGCGGCGUGCUUAACACAUGCAAGUCGAACGGUGAAGCGAGUGCUUGCACUCGUGGAUCAGUGGCGAACGGGUGAGUAACACGUGAGUAACCUGCCCAUCACUCUGGGAUAAGCACUGGAAACGGUGUCUAAUACUGGAUACGACCAACCCUUGCAUGGGGUGUUGGUGGAAAGAUUUAUCGGUGAUGGAUGGACUCGCGGCCUAUCAGCUUGUUGGCGGGGUAAUGGCCCACCAAGGCGACGACGGGUAGCCGGCCUGAGAGGGUGACCGGCCACACUGGGACUGAGACACGGCCCAGACUCCUACGGGAGGCAGCAGUGGGGAAUACUGCACAAUGGGCGAAAGCCUGAUGCAGCGACGCCGCGUGAGGGAUGACGGCCUUCGGGUUGUAAACCUCUUUCAGCAGGGAAGAAGCGAAAGUGACGGUACCUGCAGAAGAAGCACCGGCUAACUACGU
rnacentral:rRNA from 1 species